rnacentral:rRNA from 1 species
GCACUGACGCGGGCGUCCUUCCUUCCGGAGACGCGUCCUACUCUUAGCUGAGCGGGGCGUGGAGACGGAUCGUUUACUUUGAAAAAAUCAGAGUGUUUCAAGCAGGCAUCAUCGCUCUUGCAUGGAUUAGCAUGGGAUAAUGAAAUAGGACCUUGGUGCUAUUUUGUUGGUUUCGAGCACCGAAGAAAUGAUUAACAGGGACAGUCAGGGGCACUCGUAUUCCGCCGAGAGAGGUGAAAUUCUCAGACCAGCGGAAGACGAACCACUGCGAAAGCAUUUGCCAGGGAUGUUUUCACUGAUCAAGAACGAAAGUUAGGGGAUCGAAGACGAUCAGAUACCGU